rnacentral:rRNA from 1 species
GACUAAGCCAUGCGAGUCAAAUGUUCUUCGUGAACACGGCGUACUGCUCAGUAACACGUGGAUAACCUGCCCUUAGGUCUGGCAUAACCCCGGGAAACUGGGGAUAAUUCCGGAUAGAUCAUGGAUGCUGGAAUGCACCGUGGUCGAAAGCUUUUGUGCCUAAGGAUGGGUCUGCGGUCUAUCAGGUUGUAGUGGGUGUAACGUACCUACUAGCCUACGACGGAUACGGGUUGUGGGAGCAAGAGCCCGGAGAUGGAUUCUGAGACAUGAAUCCAGGCCCUACGGGGCGCAGCAGGCGCGAAAACUUUACAAUGCGGGAAACCGCGAUAAGGGGACACCGAGUGCCAGCAUCCUAUGUUGGCUGUCCAUAUGUAUAAAUAACAUGUGUUAGCAAGGGCCGGGCAAGACCGGUGCCAGCCGCCGCGGUAACACCGGCGGCCCGAGUGGUGGCCACUAUUAUUGGGUCUAAAGGGUCCGUAGCCGGUUUGGUCAGUCUUCCGGGAAAUCUGACGGCUUAACCGUUAGGCUUUCGGGGGAUACUGCCAGGCUUGGGACCGGGAGAGGUAAGAGGUACUACGGGGGUAGGAGUGAAAUCUUGUAAUCCCUGUGGGACCACCAGUGGCGAAGGCGUCUUACCAGAACGGGUCCGACGGUGAGGGACGAAAGCUGGGGGCACGAACCGGAUUAGAUACCCGGGUAGUCCCAGCCGUAAACUAUGCUCGCUAGGUGUCAGGGACGGUGCGACCGUUUCUGGUGCCGUAGGGAAGCCGUGAAGCGAGCCACCUGGGAAGUACGGUCGCAAGGCUGAAACUUAAAGGAAUUGGCGGGGGAGCACUACAACGGGUGGAGCCUGCGGUUUAAUUGGAUUCAACGCCGGGAA